rnacentral:rRNA from 1 species
UACGUAGGGUGCGAGCGUUAAUCGGAAUUACUGGGCGUAAAGUGUGCGCAGGUGGCCGCGCAAGUCGAGUGUGAAAUCCCCGAGCUUAACUUGGGAAUUGCGCUCGAAACUACGUGGCUCGAGUGUGGCAGAGGAAGGUGGAAUUCCACGUGUAGCGGUGAAAUGCGUAGAUAUCUGGAGGAACACCGGUGGCGAAGGCGGCAUCCUGGACCGGUAUUGACGCUGAGGCGCGAAAGCUAGGGGAGCGAACAGG